rnacentral:misc_RNA from 1 species
AAGUCGUAACAAGGUUUCCGUAGGUGAACCUGCGGAAGGAUCAUUAAUGGGUUAACGCCUUCGGGCACAAUCCCCACCCUUUGUAACUGCGGCCCCGGAUUCGGCGCCUGGCGGGGGAGCCCCCCCUCUUGUUCGCGGAGGGCCCCGCCUGCCGGGAAUUAGCCAACCCCUGCCUAGAAAAUUGAAGUCUGGAACAAGUUAAUUAAACAAA